rnacentral:rRNA from 1 species
AGUCUGGCCUGCCCAAUGAUUCUUGAAUGGCCGCAGUAUUUUGACUGUGCAAAGGUAGCAUAAUCAUUAGUUUUUUGAUUGAAAGCUGGAAUGAAAGGUUUGAUGAGAAAAUAACUGUCUCUGUGUGAAUGUAUUAGAAUUUCAAUUUUAAGUGAAAAAGCUUAAAUUUUUUAUAAAGACGAGAAGACCCUAUAGAGUUUUAUAAUUGAUUAAAUAUGAAAGUUAUUGAAUUUAUUUUUUUUAUUUUUAUUUAAUUAUUUUGUUGGGGCGAUGGAAAAAUUUGAAAAACUUUUUUUUGUUUGUAACAUUGAUUUAUGAUUAUUUGAUCCUUUUUUUUGGAUUACAAGAUUAAAUUACCUUAGGGAUAACAGCGUAAUUUUUUUUGGAGAGUUCUUAUCGAUAAAAAAGUUUGCGACCUCGAUGUUGGAUUAAAAUUAAAUUUUGGUGUAGAAGCUAAAAUUUUAGGUCUGUUCGACCUUUGAAAUUUU